UUGCAUUUGCUUGCGUAUGUCACUCCAGAGGAGCCUCGACUCUUCUUCACAAGCGAAACAACUAAAACCCCUCUUUCUAAUUACAUUGAUUUUCUAGCAACAUUUCCUCAAGAAAUCUGUAAGUAUUCAUACAUUCAAUUUUGCUUGUUUUUAGAUUUGGGGUACCAUCAAAUUCUCUAAAUUUAUUGAAAUUUGAUAGCUUGAUUGAUCUUCGUACAAAGUAUUCUUAGUUGUAUUGGAUCUGAA
rnacentral:misc_RNA from 1 species